UACGUAGGUGGCAAGCGUUGUCCGGAUUUAUUGGGCGUAAAGGGCGCGCAGGUGGUGUGCUAAGUCUGCCGUGAAAUCUCCCGGCUCAACUGGGAGGCUGCGGUGGAGACUGCACGCUUGAGGUACCUAGAGGUCGGUGGAAUUCCCGGUGUAGUGGUGAAAUGCGUAGAGAUCGGGAGGAACACCAGUGGCGAAGGCGAGUCCCUGGACAUCUCCUGACACUGAGGCACGAAAGCUAGGGGAGCAAACAGG
rnacentral:rRNA from 1 species